UCGAGCGAACAGAAGGGAGCUUGCUCCCGGAUGUUAGCGGCGGACGGGUGAGUAACACGUGGGUAACCUGCCUGUAAGACUGGGAUAACUCCGGGAAACCGGAGCUAAUACCGGAUAGUUCCUUGAACCGCAUGGUUCAAGGAUGAAAGACGGUUUCGGCUGUCACUUACAGAUGGACCCGCGGCGCAUUAGCUAGUUGGUGGGGUAAUGGCUCACCAAGGCGACGAUGCGUAGCCGACCUGAGAGGGUGAUCGGCCACACUGGGACUGAGACACGGCCCAGACUCCUACGGGAGGCAGCAGUAGGGAAUCUUCCGCAAUGGACGAAAGUCUGACGGAGCAACGCCGCGUGAGUGAUGAAGGUUUUCGGAUCGUAAAGCUCUGUUGUUAGGGAAGAACAAGUGCGAGAGUAACUGCUCGCACCUUGACGGUACCUAACCAGAAAGCCACGGCUAACUACGUGCCAGCAGCCGCGGUAAUACGUAGGUGGCAAGCGUUGUCCGGAAUUAUUGGGCGUAAAGGGCUCGCAGGCGGUUUCUUAAGUCUGAUGUGAAAGCCCCCGGCUCAACCGGGGAGGGUCAUUGGAAACUGGGAAACUUGAGUGCAGAAGAGGAGAGUGGAAUUCCACGUGUAGCGGUGAAAUGCGUAGAGAUGUGGAGGAACACCAGUGGCGAAGGCGACUCUCUGGUCUGUAACUGACGCUGAGGAGCGAAAGCGUGGGGAGCGAACAGGAUUAGAUACCCUGGUAGUCCACGCCGUAAACGAUGAGUGCUAAGUGUUAGGGGGUUUCCGCCCCUUAGUGCUGC
rnacentral:rRNA from 2 species